AUUGAACGCUGGCGGCAUGCCUUACACAUGCAAGUCGAACGGUAACGCGGGGCAACCUGGCGACGAGUGGCGAACGGGUGAGUAAUGCAUCGGAACGUGCCCAGUAGUGGGGGAUAGCCCGGCGAAAGCCGGAUUAAUACCGCAUACGACCUACGGGUGAAAGCGGGGGACCGUAAGGCCUCGCGCUAUUGGAGCGGCCGAUGUCAGAUUAGGUUGUUGGUGGGGUAAACGCCUACCAAGCCGACGAUCUGUAGCUGGUCUGAGAGGACGACCAGCCACACUGGGACUGAGACACGGCCCAGACUCCUACGGGAGGCAGCAGUGGGGAAUUUUGGACAAUGGGGGCAACCCUGGUCCAGCCAUGCCGCGCGCGGGAAGAAGGCCUUCGGGUUGUAAACCGCUUUUGUCAGGGAAGAAACGCUCUGGGCUAAUACCCCGGGGUAAUGACGGUACCUGAAGGAUAAGCACCGGCUAACUACGUGCCAGCCGCCGCCGUAAAAC
rnacentral:rRNA from 1 species